UGGGGAAUAUUGCACAAUGGGCGCAAGCCUGAUGCAGCCAUGCCGCGUGUAUGAAGAAGGCCUUCGGGUUGUAAAGUACUUUCAGUCGGGAGGAAGGUGGUAAGGUUAAUAACCUUGGCAAUUGACGUUACCGACAGAAGAAGCACCGGCUAACUCCGUGCCAGCAGCCGCGGUAAUACGGAGGGUGCAAGCGUUAAUCGGAAUUACUGGGCGUAAAGCGCACGCAGGCGGUUGAUUGAGUCAGAUGUGAAAUCCCCGGGCUUAACCCGGGAAUUGCAUCUGAUACUGGUCAGCUAGAGUCUUGUAGAGGGGGGUAGAAUUCCAUGUGUAGCGGUGAAAUGCGUAGAGAUGUGGAGGAAUACCGGUGGCGAAGGCGGCCCCCUGGGCAAAGACUGACGCUCAGGUGCGAAAGCGUGGGGAGCAAACAGG
rnacentral:rRNA from 1 species